GAAGAUGACUCGUUGUCGAUACCCGGACAAGCAUCCCGUGUUGCUUCCUUCUCAACUUCUGAUGGUCGCAGGUUCGGCGGCUCGCAGCUCCAGUUUCCUUUGGAUAGGUGCUAGGAUGCUAGCUCGAUUGAUUCAUAUAUUCGAGGUUGGUGUGCAGUUUGGCACUCGCAUUGCAGGCCCACCCCGGAAAUGGAAGACCGCACGAAGAAGAAACGACGGCCCAGCUGCGAUUAACGUGGCACCAAACUCACACGCCUGGUGUGCGCUUGUGUGCUAGCAGCCACUAGCAGGUAAGCAGGGCGUAGGGCUUGCAGGCUCGCCGGCACGCAACCAGUCGGCGUGGAGACGUGGAGUGGAGCUGGUAGCAGUAGCACGCGCGCGCUCACACGCCUCCCGGCGACCCUGCCGGCCUGCCCCCGUCCAACCGGCUUUGGAGUUUGCAUCGUCUGUUUUCUCUUCCGUCCGGUGCUACCGGUCGUGAAAUGUGUGAUUGAGAGGUUUGGAUUCUGUAAUUGUGACAAGAACAGCGCAUUCACACAUGGUACAUUUAGGGUCGGUUUGGCACAGCUUCAUGAGCAAUUUCAUAUGAAGCUAUGCCAAACAACUAUUUUUGCUA